rnacentral:hammerhead_ribozyme from 1 species
AUCUAGCUGACAAGUUCCAAAUAAGACGAAACACGCGUGCUGGAU